rnacentral:tRNA from 1 species
GCCUGGGUGGCUCGGUCGGUUGAGCGUCUGACUUCAGCUCAGGUCAUGAUCUCACAGUCUGUGAGUUCGAGCCCCGCGUCAGGCU